rnacentral:rRNA from 1 species
GACGAACGCUGGCGGCGUGCUUAACACAUGCAAGUCGAACGGAAAGGCUCCAGCUUGCUGGAGUACUCGAGUGGCGAACGGGUGAGUAACACGUGGGUAAUCUGCCCUGCACUCUGGGAUAAGCCUGGGAAACUGGGUCUAAUACUGGAUAUGACCUUUCUCCUUAUGGGGUUUGGUGGAAAGUUUUUCGGUGUAGGAUGAGCCCGCGGCCUAUCAGCUUGUUGGUGGGGUGAUGGCUUACCAAGGCGACGACGGGUAGCCGGCCUGAGAGGGUGAUCGGCCACAUUGGGACUGAGAUACGGCCCAGACUCCUACGGGAGGCAGCAGUGGGGAAUAUUGCACAAUGGGCGGAAGCCUGAUGCAGCGACGCCGCGUGAGGGAUGACGGCCUUCGGGUUGUAAACCUCUUUCAGCAGGGACGAAGCGUAAGUGACGGUACCUGCAGAAGAAGCACCGGCUAACUAUGUG